AAAGGUAACCAAUUGACACCUUUUCGUCCCCAAGUAAUGCAAAGAAGCGACAGUUGUGCAUAAAUAAAAACCACAACGAAAAAACCAGACGAACAUUUGAAUGAGAUCUCUACGAACAAGAACCACUUUGAAUAGUUUUUUUUUAGAUUACCAAUAAAAAAACAAUGCACCGUUAUUCUUGAGGAAUGCAAGUGCGUUUUGUUUGGAAAAAGCAUACUUAUUAUGAUCGUUGUGAAGUGAAGUAUCAUUUUUCUGUGCAAAUAAGUUAUAAAGUGUUGAAAAUAACAAAUAAAAAGGUCAAAUCAAAAUUUUAGCUGAUGCUUUAGCUGAGUUGAAGGUGAUGGUGCUACGAUCUCAAAGUGAUGAGAUACCAUUAUCGAAUAGGUUCCCCAUCACUUAUGAAAAAUAUUGAGAAUCAAUACAUAUAUGUAAAGAUUAUAGCAUCAAUUAUAAAAGGAGAGGAAACAUCGAAAUGUUUAAAAAUGUUAUCGGUUCAAAUAUUACUACGAGUAUAAUAUUGAGGGAAACCAUGGAAAAAAGUUUGAAGUCCCUAAGUAAUAUAUACAGCGUUAUUUUAGAUUCAAUACCAGUUACAGAAUAUUCGGACACCCCUAAAACACAACUGCGAAAAGCAAUACAAGUGCUUUUAUAAAUAA